AAAUUUCAACAUAUAUUAUCAACUACUAUUCUAUACAAAGAAAGAUAACUCCAAUUGAAAAUUAAUUGCUAUUGCACAAUAUUGUGCAAUUAGAUAUUUCUUGCUAUUGUGCAAUACUGUGCAAUUGAAAAUUAAUUGCUAUUGCACAAUACUUGAUAUGGAAUCCUGAUUUGGACCAACUUGAAAACUGGGCCCAUAAUCAAAAAUCAAAGUACAUAUUUAGAUAAAGCAUAUCAAAUAAGCCCAAGAAUUUAAUUUUUGUUAAAA
rnacentral:lncRNA from 1 species